rnacentral:rRNA from 1 species
GAUGAACGCUGGCGGCGUGCCUAAUACAUGCAAGUCGAGCGAAUGGAUUAAGAGCUUGCUCUUAUGAAGUUAGCGGCGGACGGGUGAGUAACACGUGGGUAACCUGCCCAUAAGACUGGGAUAACUCCGGGAAACCGGGGCUAAUACCGGAUAACAUUUUGAACCGCAUGGUUCGAAAUUGAAAGGCGGCUUCGGCUGUCACUUAUGGAUGGACCCGCGUCGCAUUAGCUAGUUGGUGAGGUAACGGCUCACCAAGGCAACGAUGCGUAGCCGACCUGAGAGCGUGAUCGGCCACACUGGGACUGAGACACGGCCCAGACUCCUACGGGGGGCAGCAGUAGGGAAUCUUCCGCAAUGGACGAAAGUCUGACGGAGCAACGCCGCGUGAGUGAUGAAGGCUUUCGGGUCGUAAAACUCUGUUGUUAGGGAAGAACAAGUGCUAGUUGAAUAAGCUGGCACCUUGACGGUACCUAACCAGAAAGCCACGGCUAACUACGUGCCAGCCGCCGCAGUAA